GGGGGUUUCAGGUGCUCCGUGGGUGUGAUAAAAGGUGAGAAAGCAGUAGAGUAAGAGAGAGGACAGCAUGGUGUGCCUUGUGUUCCUUCUCUGCCCUGGUUGAGAAACUUAAUUAUUAAUUGUUUGCUGCUCAAUUAAGGAUUUUGGUUUAUGGACUGCACUUCGUGUACCCCAACUCAUGCUAUGGGAUUGAUGAGGAUGUGCAAGCAUUGUAGAAGAGACUGAUGUGCCAGGUCAUGCAUUAUGUCUGGACUUUACCAUAAGUACAAGUAUUCUUUCCAUUGCUGUGAUUUUCUUAAUUUUGGUUAUGUUAAUUUCUAUUAACUUUGUUUGUUUUUGUUUGAUCAAUGUUCAAUGUUUGUACUCAUCAUCUAAAUGGAAUUCUGAAGAAUUGAGUCCUUGAUAAACAUCGAUUUUGCAUAUUUGUUGUUUACAUGCCCAAAAAAUAGGUUAAAUAAAACCUUUAUUGCUGUAGCUAA